rnacentral:misc_RNA from 1 species
GAUGAAGAACGUAGCGAAAUGCGAUAAGUAAUGUGAAUUGCAGAAUUCAGUGAAUCAUCGAAUCUUUGAACGCACAUUGCGCCCCCUGGUAUUCCGGGGGGCAUGCCUGUCCGAGCGUCAUUGCUGCCCUCAAGCACGGCUUGUGUGUUGGGCUCCGUCCCCCGAUCCCGGGGGACGGGCCCGAAAGGCAGCGGCGGCACCGCGUCCGGUCCUCGAGCGUAUGGGGCUUUGUCACCCGCUCUGUAGGCCCGGCCGGCGCUUGCCGAUCAACCAAAUUUUUAUCCAGGUUGACCUCGGAUCAGGUAGGGAUACCCGCUGAACUUAAGCAUAUCAAUAAGCGGAGGA